GACGAACGCUGGCGGCGUGCUUAACACAUGCAAGUCGAACGGAAAGGCCUGCUUUCCCUUGUGGAUUGCGGGUACUCGAGUGGCGAACGGGUGAGUAACACGUGAGUGAUCUGCCCCCAACUUGGGUAUAAGCCUGGGAAACUGGGUCUAAUUCCCGAUAGGACUGCAGGGUGGUGCCUGUGGUGGAAAACGAUUUUCUAGUGGUUGGGGAUGAGCUCGCGGCCUAUCAGCUUGUUGGUGGGGUAAUGGCCGACCAAGGCGGCGACGGGUAGCCGGCCUGGGAGGGUGGACGGCCGCAUUGGGACUGCGAUACGGCCCAGACGCCUACGGGAGGCAGCAUAGGGGAAUAAUGCACGAUGAGCGGAAGCCUGAUGCAGCGACGCCGCGUGGGGGAUGACGGGCUUCGGGUGGUAAACUCCUUUCGACCGCGAGGAAGCCACCUGGUUGGAAGGGUGGUGACGGUAGUGGUAGAAGAAGCACCGGCUAACUACGUG
rnacentral:rRNA from 1 species